AGAUUGAACGCUGGCGGCAGGCCUAACACAUGCAAGUCGAGCGGCAGCACGGGUACUUGUACCUGGUGGCGAGCGGCGGACGGGUGAGUAAUGCCUAGGAAUCUGCCUGAUAGUGGGGGAUAACGUUCGGAAACGGACGCUAAUACCGCAUACGUCCUACGGGAGAAAGUGGGGGAUCUUCGGACCUCACGCUAUCAGAUGAGCCUAGGUCGGAUUAGCUAGUUGGUAGGGUAAAGCCUACCAAGGCUACGAUCCGUAACUGGUCUGAGAGGAUGAUCAGUCACACUGGAACUGAGACACGGUCCAGACUCCUACGGGAGGCAGCAGUGGGGAAUUUUGGACAAUGGGCGAAAGCCUGAUCCAGCCAUGCCGCGUGCAGGAUGAAGGCCUUCGGUUGUAACUGCUUUUGUACGUAACGAAAGUCUCUUUACUAAUAAAGUAGGAUCAUGUACGGUACGUAAGAAUAAGCACCGACUAACUACGUGCCAGCAGCCG
rnacentral:rRNA from 1 species